rnacentral:rRNA from 1 species
AGCGAACGCUGGCGGCAGGCCUAACACAUGCAAGUCGAACGAAGUCUUCGGACUUAGUGGCGGACGGGUGAGUAACACGUGGGAACGUACCUUCUUGUUCGGAACAACUCAGGGAAACUUGAGCUAAUACCGGAUGAGACCUAAGGGGGAAAGAUUUAUCGCCGAAAGAGCGGCCCGCGUUAGAUUAGCUAGUUGGUUAGGUAACGGCUCACCAAGGCUACGAUCUAUAGCUGGUCUGAGAGGAUGAUCAGCCACACUGGGACUGAGACACGGCCCAGACUCCUACGGGAGGCAGCAGUGGGAAAUCUUGCGCAAUGGGCUAAAGCCUGACGCAGCCAUGACGCGUGAAUGAUGAAGGUCUUAGGAUUGUAAAAUUCUUUUACCAGGGACGAUAAUGACGGUACCUGGAGAAAAAGCCCCGGCUAACUUCGUGCCAGCAGCCGCCGUAAGAC